rnacentral:rRNA from 1 species
GAUGAACGCUGGCGGCGUGCCUAAUACAUGCAAGUCGAGCGAACGGACGAGAAGCUUGCUUCUCUGAUGUUAGCGGCGGACGGGUGAGUAACACGUGUAUAACCUACCUAUAAGACUGGGAUAACUUCGGGAAACCGGAGCUAAUACCGGAUAAUAUUUUGAACCGCAUGGUUCAAAAGUGAAAGACGGUCUUUCUGUCACUUAUAGAUGGAUCCGCGCUGCAUUAGCUAGUUGGUAAGGUAACGGCUUACCAAGGCAACGAUGCAUAGCCGACCUGAGAGGGUGAUCGGACACACUGGAACUGAGACACGGAACAGACUACUACGGGAGGAAGCAGUAGGGAAUAUUCCGCAAUGGGCGAAAGCCUGACGGAGCAAAGCCGAGUGAGUGAUGAAGGUCUUCGGAUCGUAAAACUCUGUUAUUAGGGAAGAACAUAUGUGUAAGUAACUGUGCACAUAUUGACGGUACCUAAUCAGAAAGCCACGGCUAACUACGUG